ACAAAGCACUAGACUCCUACAAGCUGCUGGAAUCUGGUUGGGUGCAGACAGUGAGGCAUAUCAUUCCUAAUGACACAACCCUCACGGUCCUGAGAGCUGACGUGACACCGUCAUUCCGGGUGAAUGAACCGCCGCAUCAUCCAUGGGCAGCCGUUACCCAGCGUGGCGAUGUGGUUGCUGCUCACUGUGACUGCAAAGCUGGCAGUGAUGGGACCCACCUGUGGCGCUAAUUCCAGGAUAUAAGAAGGCUGCAGAACAGGCUCUCGCUCUCUCUCAGCUGCCCUGCUCGGUGCAGCAGGACACCGCUCCUCUGUUCUGUUUUAUUGUUGUUGGAACCACUGUGUUGGAUAAAUAAAUGAUUGUUUUGGGCAA